UACGUAGGGUCCGAGCGUUGUCCGGAAUUACUGGGCGUAAAGAGCUCGUAGGUGGUUUGUCGCGUUGUUCGUGAAAACUCACAACUCAAUUGUGGGCGUGCGGGCGAUACGGGCAGACUUGAGUACUGCAGGGGAGACUGGAAUUCCUGGUGUAGCGGUGAAAUGCGCAGAUAUCAGGAGGAACACCGAUGGCGAAGGCAGGUCUCUGGGCAUUAACUGACGCUGAGGAGCGAAAGCGUGGGGAGCGAACAGG
rnacentral:rRNA from 1 species